GGUGUACAUCAGCGGGAGACGGGUGAGUAACACGUGGGUGACCUACCCUAAAGACGGGGAUAACCCUCGGAAACGGGGGCUAAUACCGGAUAGCUACAGCGUACGGAGGUAUGUUGUACAAAGCUACGGCGCUUCAGGAGGGGCCUGCGGCCCAUCAGCUACUUGGUAGGGUAACGGGCUACCAAGGCAAAGACGGGUAGGGGGUGUGAGAGCACGGUCCCCCACAAUGGGACUGGAACACGGCCCAUACUCCUACGGGAGGCAGCAGCAGGGAAUAUUGCGCAAUGGGCGAAAGCCUGACGCAGCGACGCCGCGUGAGUGAACGACGGCUUUCGAGUUGUAAAACUCUCUCCUGGGGGAAGAGGACGGACGGUACCCGAGGAAUAAGCGUCGGCUAACUACGUGCCAGCAGCCGCGGUAAGACGUAGGACGCGAGCGUUAUCCGGAUUUACUGGGCGUAAAUCGCCUGUAGGCGGCUUUGUAAGUUGGGCGUGAAAGCCCCGUGCUUAACGCGGGGAAGCCGUUCACUACUGCGGAGCUAGAGUACGGCAGAGGGGAGUGGAAUUCCUGGAGUAGCGGUAAGAUGCGCAGAUAUCAGGAGGAACACCAGUGGCGAAGGCGGAUCCCUGGGCCGAGACUGACGCUCAGAGGCGAAAGCUAGGGGAGCGAACAGGAUUAGAGACCCUGGUAGUCCUAGCCCUAAACGAUGGAUGACAGAUGUGGGGACGAGGAGUUUCCGUGCCGGAGCAAACGCGAUAAGCAUCCCGCAUGGGGACUACGACCGCAAGGUUAAAACUCAUACGAAUUGACGGGGGCCCGCACAAGCAGCGGAGCGUGUGGUUUAAUUCGAUGCUACACGAAGAACCUUACCUGGGUUUGACAUGUAGAUGUUAGCGAGGCGAAAGCUGAGCGACCCUUCGGGGAGCCUACACAGCUGCUGCAUGGCUGUCGUCAGCUCGCGCCGUGAGGUGUCGGGUUAAGUCCCGUAACGAGCGCAACCCUUGCUCCUAGUUAUACGUGUCUAGGGGGACUGCCGGCGGGAAGCCGGAGGAAGGUGGGGAUGACGUCAAGUCAGCAUGGCCCUUAUGUCCAGGGCUACACACACGCUACAAUGGCCAGUACAAAGGGUAGCGAACGCCGCGAGGUGGAGCGAAUCUCAGCAAAGCUGGUCAGUAGUUCGGAUUGCAGGCUGCAACCCGCCUGCAUGAAGCUGGAGUUGCUAGUAACCGCGCGUCAGCUAUA
rnacentral:rRNA from 1 species